GUCUACGGCCAUGCCACCCUGAACAAGCCCAAUCCCGUCUGAUCUCGGAAGCUAAGCAGCGUCGGGCCUGGGUAGUACUUGGAUGGGAGACCACCUAGGAAGACCAGGUGUUGUAGGCA
rnacentral:rRNA from 1 species